CUACUUGACAAUGCAGUUGAUGAGAUCCAAAAUGGGGCCACUUUUGUCAUUGUAGAUAAAACCUCAAAUCCAAGGGAUGGAAGUCCAGCAUUGUUAAUUCAAGACAAGAAGAUGCUCAGGAGUUCCCUUAGCUUCAUUA